rnacentral:rRNA from 1 species
AGAAUGACGGGACCGCACAAGCGGUGGAUGAUGUGGUUAAUUCGAUGCAACGCGAAAACCUUACCCACCUUUGACAUGUACGGAAUCCUUUAGAGAUAGAGGAGUGCUCGAAAGAGAGCCGUAACACAGGUGCUGCAUGGCUGUCGUCAGCUCGUGUCGUGAGAUGUUGGGUUAAGUCCCGCAACGAGCGCAACCCUUGUCAUUAGUUGCUACAUUCAGUUGGGCACUCUAAUGAGACUGCCGGUGACAAACCGGAGGAAGGUGGGGAUGACGUCAAGUCCUCAUGGCCCUUAUAGGUGGGGCUACACGCGUCAUACAAUGGAUGGUACAAAGGGUCGCCAACCCGCGAGGGGGAGCCAAUCCCAUAAAGCCAUUCGUAGUCCGGAUCGCAGUCUGCAACUCGACUGCGUGAAGUCGGAAUCGCUAGUAAUCGUGAAUCAGAAUGUCACGGUGAAUACGUUCCCGGGCCUU